rnacentral:rRNA from 1 species
AGGAUGAACGCUGGCGGCGUGCCUAACACAUGCAAGUCGAACGUCCUGUCUCGCAAGAGGCAGGGAGUGGCGGACGGGUGAGUACCACGUGGGUCAUCUACCGUGAGGUGAGGAAUACCGGCGAGAAAUCGCCGACAAGACCGCAUAGCCUCGGUGCAAGUCGAGGAAAGCUCUCUCGAGAGAGGGAGCGCCACACGAGGAGCCUGCGCCCGAUUAGCUAGCUGGUGGAGUAAUGGUUCACCAGGGCGACGAUCGGUAGCUGGUCUGAGAGGACGAUCAGCCACACUGGGAUUGAGAACGGCCCAGACUCCUACGGGGGGCAGCAGUGAGGAAUUUUCGUCAAUGGGGGCAACCCUGAACGAGCAACGCCGCGUGCAGGAAGAGGUUUCGGAUCGUAAACUGCUUUCUCGGGAAGAGAACGGACGGUACCCGAGGAAUCGACGCCCGGCUAACUACGUCGCCAGCAGCCGC